GGGGAAGAUAAGAUGCACAUGUGUAUAUAUAUAUGUUACAUCUUUUUCUUUUCUCUCUCUCUCUCUCUCGUUCUUUUUUU
rnacentral:ribozyme from 11 species